UGCCAAUGACGCAGCGAGCUAUGGGUUAUUCUCGUACCUUUAGCUUUACUUUUAUCAUUUUCUAAACUUAAAGUCGCUAUGUAAGACCCAAAUUUUCCUCUGAAGGCAAGCCUGUUACCAAAGGUCUGGUAUUUGAAUGUGAUUAUACUGCGUCCUCUUUCGGUUUCGAAUCACUAGGCGUUUCAUAGCCGUUUGGCGGUAUACCUAUUCUUCAAAGCGUCAAUCCAUAACCUUCGCAUCUUGCAACCACCUUUUCUCUACGCUGUACUGUGGUAUUCAGGUACAAAUCAAGAUAUUAGAAUGUUUUGUUUGAAAUAUUGAUUUUACAGUGAGUUGUUCUACUUUGGGGUUUGUUGUCCGGUAAAAGUAUUUCUACAUCUAAGAACGUUUCAAGCAUUACUAUCUUUACUAAUCUUUCUUCCCAUCUGUGAAUCGAUCACGCGCUGAUAGUGAUAGUCCUUCUUCACGCCUCGCUUUAUCCGGUCGUAAGGUAGCUACGGAUGCUGACCAAGGUCAUUAUGAGUAGGCCCACUGGAUUCAACAGUUAUCAAAUUGUGCCUGGACGAGAAGCUGAUGUGCUUAAGCCAUAGGUCUAUACCUAGGUACCUGUUGAUUUGAUAUAAAGAGUGGAGUUGUCCGGUGCAGGUACUUCAAAAUCCAACACUGUCAGAGCCGAGUUUGUCUGGAUCUAGUUCGUUCGGAACCGUUUGAGUCACCAUGGAGACACAGGGACAGGGAUGAUGACGCAGAAAGAAGACAUAACUGGAAGGGAAAGGUUGAGGCGCCCCGAAAAGUCACUGGCUUUAAGCAGUCCCAAUAAAAAGAAUAAAUAUAAUAUUUAUACCUUCUUGAUUCAUUGCACCCACUUCCAGAUGCACUGUGGAGCAUCCAGAAAAAUAUGGAUGUUCAAGGCUUUUAUUUUAAAGGAUACUCCGCCAUCCAUGAAGUCGCUUUUCAGCGAUUGUAGAAAGGUAAGCUGGCUAGUGACUAGCAAGGCGACGAGUCAGCAAAAGCCGAGUAAGCCGCAGCAGAAGAUGUCUUCAGGUUGUAUUCUGCCGCUGCCUAGUAUGCGAAGAAAGGUAGUAGAGAAUGGAUCCUGCUAAAGUGAAAGGAAGUGGAGGAUGAAACCAUACCAUUACAAUGCAUUGGGCGGGGAACAAUGUCGGAGGCAUGCUCGAAGGAAUCAACAAAAUGUUGGUAAAGAGACCUGUAAGGCGGGUCAGCCCACAUCUCAACAGUUUCUGCAAACGGUUAUUCUAGUUUGCUCAGUUUUCAAUCUCAAGUAUCUGAAAGGCUUUGUAGAGGAACAGGAAUUCAAGAUGGAUCUAAUCUAAAAUGGCGAUGUGAUGAUUUCCAUCCAUCGACCUGAAGGAUGCUUAUUUCAUGGUUCAGGAAUUUAUGGUGUGCGAAAGCUACAGCAAAUACAUUCGAUUUGCCUAGGAAAGGCAGCUAUACGCAUUUCAGUUGCCUCCGUUUGGGCCCCAAGAUGUUUACAAAAUUAAUAAAGCCGGUGGCGUCUGUCGUAAGGUUACGGUCUAUGAAACAUGAUUUACCUGAUGAGUCCGUCGAUGGAGAUUGCUUCGAGCAGAGACAUUCAUUCUGGCACUGAUUCAGCAGCAAGUUUAAUGUUGGUCAAUUGGACUAAGUCUUAGCUUGUUCCGACUAGUAAAUCUCCGUUUUCUUAGUCAUUGGGUAGAUUAUUUCUCGGGACAAGUUUUCCCAGAUACAGAAGCUUGCCGGUGGACAAUGGAGCAUCCCAGGUUGAAUGCGAAAGAUCUGGCCUACUUGGUAGGCAAUGUGGUGGCGACAGCAGUCACGAAUAGCAUUUAUGUUUUUUUUUUCCUAUUAUGUUUAUUACCACUAAAAUGAAGCUGCCAUGGCAUCUGCAUCUCAAUCAAAAUGCAAAUGUCAAUCAAGUGUAUCUGUAUCUGUAGAAGCUGUAGCCUAUGUUCUGUCAAAUUUGCAUAAAGUUGAAUUUUCAUCCGACCGUAGCCAUUUUUGGUGUUGCGGAUUAAUUAUCAACUUGCCAGUUAUGCGGCCUGUCAACACUCUAGGGAUUCUUCCGACGAAUGCCUUCUCUUUGACAUGAACGUGCGUAUCUGUUUUCCACAUUUGUCUCUUGGGGCGGACGUUGAGGAAAUUGGUAGCGAACAAGGCUACUGCCUUUAUCCCUGCGCCGAACUGGACCAUGCACACUUGGUAUCCGAUGUUACAACAGCUGAUGGUGAUACUGCUUGUAAUCUAGGUCAGGUACUCUAACGCAACCUCGCGUGAUGGCGAAGUUUUAUAUAAAAUUUAAAAAAAGAAAAGGAGAUAGUAGUGUUUUCUUUAUAUAUUUUGAAGAAAAAAAGAAUAUAAAUUAAGUAGAUGUAUUGUUUAUGCCUAAGUGGUUUUAUCAUGUGCUGGGGUAACUUAUAGUUUUUAAAUUUGCUGAAGAAAAUAAAUUGAAUUAAUAAAGUUAUCGCUUAUGUAA